UGAGAAUUCACAAGUUCAAACCCAAACAU
rnacentral:piRNA from 1 species